AUUGAACGCUGGCGGAAUGCUUUACACAUGCAAGUCGAACGGUAGAGGGGGCAACCCCUCGAGAGUGGCGAACGGGUGAGUAAUAUAUCGGAACGUGCCCAGUCGUGGGGGAUAACGUAGCGAAAGUUACGCUAAUACCGCAUACGAUCUAAGGAUGAAAGCGGGGGAUCGCAAGACCUCGCGCGAUUGGAGCGGCCGAUGUCAGAUUAGGUAGUUGGUGGGCUAAAGGCUCACCAAGCCAACGAUCUGUAGCUGGUCUGAGAGGACGACCAGCCACACUGGAACUGAGACACGGUCCAGACUCCUACGGGAGGCAGCAGUGGGGAAUUUUGGACAAUGGACGCAAGUCUGAUCCAGCCAUUCCGCGUGCAGGAUGAAGGCCCUCGGGUUGUAAACUGCUUUUGUACGGAACGAAAAGGUCUCUCUUAAUACGGGGGACUCAUGACGGUACCGUAAGAAUAAGCACCGGCUAACUACGUGCCAGCCGCCGCCGUAA
rnacentral:rRNA from 1 species